rfam:Villosiclava virens strain TV-8b Sca_11, whole genome shotgun sequence.
GUUCGAGUGACGCAGCGGUUAGCGUGUGGGAUUGCAAAUCCCGAAGUCCUUGGUUCAAUUCCGAGCUCGAACU